UCUGGCAGUGAUGACACACUUGCCCUCUCAGUCACUCUGAGAACAGUGCUUGCUAAUGAGAGAAGCUUUACGUACUCAGCAGAGCUGAGCCAGA
rnacentral:snoRNA from 1 species